UCCGUAGGCGGUGCGGUAAGUCGGGAGUGAAAUCUCUGGGCUUAACUCAGAGGCUGCUUCCGAAACUACCGUGCUCGAGUGCGAGAGAGGCAAGUGGAAUUGCGGGUGUAGCGGUGAAAUGCGUAGAUAUCCGCAGGAACAUCCGAGGCGAAGGCGGCUUGCUGGAUCGCAACUGACGCUGAGGGACGAAAGCUAGGGGAGCAAACAGGAUUAGAUACCCUGGUAGUCCUAGCCCUAAACCAUCAGGACUUGGGGUUUGCCCUGUACGGGGCAAGUCCCGUAGCUAACGCGUUAAGUCCUGCGCCUGGGGAGUACGGUCGCAAGACUGAA
rnacentral:rRNA from 1 species